UGUACUUUGGAAUCGGCUCCUGGUGCUGCUCCGAAAAUCUCUCCCGAGAUGCCCUUUGUACGUAAACAGUAAAGACGCGCCGGACGAAUUUUGCUCUCCUAUCUGCCAGCAACAUCUCGGCGAAUGGGGGACUUAUUUCUUUCUCGUCGUUCUUUGUACGUUAAUCAUCUUUUUCCCCCUAACGGCGACAAUAAUAUCUCUAGACGCGCCGCCAUCUUCCCCUGCUUUUCUUUUUUUGUCCACACCACUGCCCGUAAUCUUGCAACGUAUUUCAAGUGACAUUCAUACUGCACAUGAUAAUAAUAGCGUGAUGAUACGGUGUUUGGUCCGUUUUGCUGCUGCUAUCGGUGGUUGAUUUAUUCUUUUCUUUUUUUGUUCUUCUUUUUUCCAAACCGCCGAGAGCACGCACCGACCGGGAGUGUGUUUACACGUUUCGCGCUGGUGUCGCGGCCACUGAUUUGCCACAACGUGAUGCAUAUGAAGGUGUCAAUUGAAGGCAAUUUAAAUAAAUUUGCUCAUAAGCUGCCCUGCCCCUGGUGUGCGCUGCAUCUUGGGCACGUUUUCGUGUGGGAUCGCUUUUGAAACCGCCAUGUACUCGGUGGGCUGAGUAGCUGAAGAGGGGGCAAGAUGAAACCAGAGCUGCAUCAUGUAGAAUGGAGAGAUGUUCACGCCGAUAUUAACUGCCUUGUGUAUGUUGCCCAAGUGCGGAUCACUAAGGGGAUUAGAGAGGUCGUCACAUGUAGACAUACGCAUACGCUCACAGCGAGAAGCAGCGCUACCCGAGCAGAUGCUACACACCGAUAGACGAGUCAUCAGAUCCGAGGCGGCAUGCAGGCACCGAGGGAGUCGUCGUCGUCGCCACGCGUGGACUUUGAACCCGAGUGAGCAACGUAUGGUGCGCAGUUGCGUCAACCGAUUUGUUUCCAUUGAUUCCCGCAACACAUGUUUGAAGGGGUACCGCGCACAUUCGACGCCGAUGAGACGGCACUGGAAGCCCCUUGUGUGUUCGUUCGUUCGUUCUCGAUGGGGAAAAGUAUCGAGCGGUUGUGUCCCCGAUAGCGUUAUCAGCGCACGAUAACCAGCUGCGGUUACCGUCAUCCAUUGCUCGCGCGCAUUGCUUAGCUUUGGCUUCGUUUGUCCGCUUCGAUUGCCAGCGGAGCCAGCGGUAAAGGCAACUGCUGUUUGUUGGAGGCUUAGAAAGUUUGUCCAGGGGUCCGAGAAGAGAGCUCCGAGAAAGACACGGCCAAGUGGCGGAUGUUUACACGCAAACGGCAAGAAGUUUACAGUGCAAAGCAAGAUUACAACAGUUGGAAGACAUUUUCCACAUUGUACAGGACAGAGGCUGCUAACAGAGCCGAUUUUUGAUUUAAAAACUCGGUGCAAAUUGAGAUGGUUACACUCGAUUUCAACAUAAAAUGGUACAGUCACUCAAUCGACGACUUGAAUGAUUUAUUUCCAACUUUUUACGGAUAUUUGAUUCUUUUCUUUAAUAUGGCUAUUGUUCAUGAGGUACUUUUUGUCAAGAACAUGAAUUAAUGUUCUUCAAAUCGUAUCAGAAACACUAACACAAUCACUAAAAUAAUAUUUUGAUUCAUUUUACACUUGGGUUGUCGACGCGUAUAUACGAUUUUUUUAUUCGAUUCUAAUUGUAAGGCUCACUGCGAAAUGUGAGAAAAUAAAUACAUUUCCGAGGA